GAUGAACGCUGGCGGCGUGCCUAAUACAUGCAAGUCGAGCGAACGGACGAGAAGCUUGCUUCUCUGAUGUUAGCGGCGGACGGGUGAGUAACACGUGGAUAACCUACCUAUAAGACUGGUAUAACUUCGGGAAACCGGAUCUAAUACCGUAGGAUAUUUUGCACCGCAUGGUUCAAAAGUGAAAGACGGUCUUGCUGUCACUUAUAGAUGGUUCCGCGCUGCAUUAGCUAGUUGUUAAGUUCACGGCUUACCAAGGCAACGAUGCAUAGCCGACCUGAGAGGGUGAUCGGCCACAUUGGAACUGAGACACGGUCCAGACUCCUACGGGAGGCAGCAGUAGGGAAUCUUCCGCAAUGGGCGAAAGCAUGACGGAGCAACGCCGCGUGAGUGAUGACGGUCUUCGGAGCGUAAAACUCUGUUAUUAGGGAAGAACAUAUGUGUAAGUAACUGUGCACAUCUUGACGGUACCUAAUCAGAAAGCCACGGCUAACUACGUG
rnacentral:rRNA from 1 species